CUGUGUGAACGGUCCUAACCUUAAUUGAUAGCAUGGUGGUUGCUACCCCAGUCAGAGGCACAUGCCCAUAAACGAAACUGCCGAGCAUCUUACUUUCUCUAAUAGUGGGUUUAAGACCUGCUAAGAAUUUUGUACAUCGCUGUUUAAAGGUUAAAUAUUCAAGUGUUAACCUUUUCCUUGCUUACUGAGCUAAAGCAGUUGGUGUUAGUUUAGAGGAAAAUAACAAGUCAAGACGCAGAGAAUGAGGAAGAUAGAGUGUGUGUCAAUGCUAAUGUGUUUCCACUUCACUCUUUUCUGAAAAGUGAAAAAGAGGGAAAAGAAUCUGAUAGUAAGGGUAUGUUCAACAGACUACCUUGAACAGGUAAUUAGUAGUGCACACACC
rnacentral:rRNA from 1 species